AUGUGUUUUGCCACUAGAGAGCCCACGAAAUGGGCACAGGAUCCUGGGGCUGCGGGGAUGGAAAUUGGAAAGUCAUACAAUCAUAGAUCCAUAGAAUGGCAUAGGUUGGAGGAGACCCAAAGGCCCCCCCCCAGCCCUCCCCCCUCCGUGGACUGGCUGCCCUCCAGUUCAGGCUGCCCAGGGCCCAUCUCCAUAGGAGAGGUCCCCAUGGAGACCUGCAACAAUGGCAGAGGCUCAGGCACGCACCGUGCAUCCCCAGCACCUCGUGCAGCAGCCGCCGGUUCCUCUCCACCCUCUCAGCCAAGGACAGCGGCUCCGGGCCCGCCGUCACCUCCUUGCCAGCAGAAACCAGAGGGGGAGAGCCCCCCAGGCCCCCCCGCUCCCCCCAUGGCGCAGUGCCAUCCAGCAGCCCGUCGGUCAGCGCCUUCACUUUGCCCUCCAGCACGGCGUGGGGGUCCCGGGGGGCUCUGCGGGACGGGGCCCUUCCAUGUGCCCUGCGAGGAGAGAGCGCGUGAGGGCAGCCCGCCCGCGGCCUACGUGGCCGGCCCCGAGUGAUGCCAAGCCCUCGGAGCACAAACCCUGCAUGGAAGCGCCUUCCCAAUGGCACCGAUGGAGCCCUCCGUGCCCCGCUCGGCCCAGCAGCCUCUCAUCCCCUCCCAGGGAGCCCGCAAUGCGCUGGGGAUGAAGAACACCCCUCCGUCACCCUGGGCCCCCACAGAGCCAGGACAGCCACGAGGGCCGGGCUUACCCCGAGCAUCGGGAGAGGGCCGGGAUGGAGGGAGAAGAAAGCGGAAGAGGAGAAGGAAGCAUAGGGAGGAAAUUAAAAAAAAGCAGCAAAUCCCAGCCACUCCAGCCCUGCCUGAGCUCCGCCGCUUGGCUGGGCUGCUGGCUGCGGCCGGCCCUGCCUCCCGCCCCGGCCUCCCCCUCCUCCUCCUCCUCCUCCUCCACCCGCUCCAUGGCGGGGCUCCCAGCCAAACCCGGCACAGAUGCUGACACCCAAGCUGGAGGGGGCCAUGGGGCCACCGCGGUCACACGCAGCCCAGGGGACACCGGGGACACGGUGCACCUAGAGCAGUGCCAAGGCCACCCGUGGGACACCCUCUGGUUGUGCAAACAAACGGC
rnacentral:lncRNA from 1 species